UCACCGCGUCCUCGGCGAGUGGGGGCGGGGCCGUGACUCACCCGGGCCGCGCCCCCCGCCCGCGGCGGAGCGCACGUGAGCGCGCGCCGCGCCGGUUUCUAAGUUUAGCUCGGCGGUUUCGGUGGGGUCGGGCGAGGAAGCUGAGGGGGUGCUCUGUCAAAAUGAGGGAAGAAACCAAGAGGAAGGCGUGAGAUGCUGGAACCAGGGAUUCCAACUAGUGUCGCAAAGGAAUAAAGUGUUCCAAAACCCAGACACGAGCUCUCCACAGGGGAGUAGAUGCACUGGAGUUAUUUUAAGGAGAAAGAGUGUCCAUCAUCUCGUGCCUGGGAGACCUACUGUUGCCAUCUUCUCAGCGACUGUAGCUGUUGGAAUAGUCGUGUCUGCAGUCCUCAGGGCAGUGUGGUGCACAUGAGGAGAGACCAGAAGUUGUUAUCCGGAGAAGCUGAACUGAAGGUGCUCUGGACUCCAGGACACUGGUCCCCGCGGAAAGUGACAGGGAGGGGUCAGACACACUCCCGAUGGUGGUCACUCUGUCAGCCUGGAACCUGGAGUGACGAGUUACAGGAGAGCUCCGAACCAAUCCAAGGUGAUCAUUUGGAAUGAGCAAGCAAACAAGAAACUUUCCUCAUGUCAAGUCACUGAGAGCUCGUUGCCAGAACUGGGAGAAGUGGUUCAAUGGUCCUCACCCGCGGAGAGCGGUGGUGAGGGAUGGAAGGCAGUUACCUCGCAUUGUGCAGAUAGGCACAGGAAAUAGGAGCAGAUUUUACAGAAGUUAGGAAGAGUGGAACACGAGAUCAGAGAGCCUGGAUUCUCAUCUCACAUCUUCCACCUGUGAGACGAUGCCUUUGGGCAAGUUGUGGAACCACUGCAACCUUCAGCCGCCUCAUCUAUAAAAUGGAGGGUGACAAUGGCAGCUAUGUCAGCAGGUGACCGUGAGGAGAAAACGAAGUACUACAGGCUCCCCCUUGGGUUCCAUAUCCUGGGCUUUUCUGGUAGCAAGGAUACAAAGACUCAGUCAAGUCACUUCAGGAAGAGAUUUUAUUGGCAAGAAAGACACGAAUGGGAAAGGAAACAGAAACUCUGAGAAUCUGAGGCAGCACAUCCUCGUUCUUCCCCCAAAGGCUCCAGAGUCUCCUGUCAUGUCUCUCCCCUCUGCCCAGCUGCCCCCUCAGUUCCGCUUGCAUUGGCCACCCAGCUCAAGAGUUGCACCUCAGUGCCCUCAGCUCCCUCCGCUGCUAUGAUCCAUUGGAAUUUUCCAACACCGGAACUGAGUGGUCCACCUUCUCAGGGCACGGCUGCUGGCUGGCCAGUCCUGUGGGGCUGCUGCAGGGGCAGGUGACCUUGUGGGUAGGUGACAGGGCAGCCACCCUGUGCCUUAGUCGUGCACCACAUCUUCCGGAGCGUCUGCUCUGGCCUGGGCUUGAGGCAUGGCCAUACCACACUCAAGGAGGAACGUUCCAGAACAACCACCCCUUCUUCAGAACCUUCACAGGCACAUGGUGAGCCAUAGAGAAGCCCGCGGCCUCACCUCCAGGGGGCGCUCUGGGGGCAGGCCAGGCCAGGCCAGGGAUAAGGAGCAGCAGUUCAGCAGCAGUGGGGUGAAGUGAGGUGUGCCAGAGACAGCUGGACCUGAGAUGGCGCUUGGCCCCUCUUCCCUCACUGUCCCUUCUCCCGGAGGUGCUGAGGUCUACACGGGGAGGAGCUGAGAACAGACUGACGUCUCCCAGGACAAACUUCUUUCUCAGAGGACAUCAGUUACUAACCACCUGCGGGGGGUCAAAAAACUGUUUUUGCUCUUCCCGGAGCCCACCCCGGGCGCAAAAUUCCCCAGAGACCAGAAAAUGGUUUGGGCCACCUGAUACUAAUGUCAGAGAAUGCUAAAAAUGUGUCACGGAGGUGGCAGCUGCUGGAGGCACCGACAGCCCAGGGCCCGGCACCAACGGGAAGCAUUUGGAAUUGUUGAAACUCAGAAACAGGGGUGAUCCCUGCAUGGGUUGAGACCCAGAGGUCAGAGGUGGGGGCGCCUGCCAGCUGGUGUUGACGUUCUCAGGGCGGAGGAGGGGCGACAAAAUUUCCCAAGUGUUGGAAUACUGCAAAUUGGAUUCGGUUGCUGCUGGGGUGAAGCAACACUUGAGGGGCCGUGGCAGGAACAGGAGGUAAACAGGGAGGGGCGGGCCUCCCCUCGGGCUUCCCAGCCCCCUAGAGCGCCUCCUACUGGCACAGUCCAACAGGCCGCCGCUGGCAAAGCCGGAAGUGGAUUGCCCCGGGUCAGCCCCAGGAAAGCAGAAGGGGGGUGAGGAGACCAGCACACCCAUGAGCUGGAGUCUCCCCUCUUGCACACGUGUGUGUGUGUGUGCAUCCACACAGACCACAAGCUCCCUCCCUGCAAGCUGGAUUGUGAGUCCUGCCCCGUGGGUAUCAGAGCUGUCGGGGAACUUCAUGGCUCUGAUGGGCAGAGACUUCUCGGAUUCUCAACUGCCAGCCCCUGCGCCCUGUUUCCAUCCCACCGCCAAACAGCCCCUGGUUUGAGAUCUUCUGUCAAAAGGAAGCUCAAAAUUCUUCAUCUCCGGAGGGACAUCUGGCGGAGGAGACAUCACAGGGGCCGCCUCACCGUCCUGGAGGAGGAGCUCAGGAGCUCAGAGAAAAGCAAGGUCUGUGCUACAUUGCUCAGCACGUAGUAAACACAGUGGAACCCCGGUGCCAAUGGAAGGUACAAGCUAAAACUGGUUUAACUGUCUCGGUUUAACUGUCACCUCCUCAGAGAGAUCAUCCCAGCCCACUCUGUCUAAUUAGGGCCCCUGCCACCCCGUUUUUCUCCAUCACUGCGUGUAGUCUUUUCCUGCACAGCACAUGUCGGCGUGCAAUUCUGUGUUUUCAUGGUGUGUUUAUUGCCAAUCUCCUCUAGGUAGCAACUCACAAGGGCGGGGCUGUGCUGGCUUCCUAUACCACCGCAGUCUCAGGAUCUAGCCCAGCGCCUGGCACAUAGUAGGUCUCAAUAAGGGUUUGUCAAAUGCACCGACUUAAAAGUAUAAAACGUUCUAGAUGAGCUGUGAUGAACUGAUGGGUGGUGGAUCUAUGAAUGAGGGGUAUGGAGGCUUAACACUCUGAGAACAAAGUUGUAGAAGGCGGUCGCUCUCCAUUUCCAGAUUGAGAGCAUGGCAGGCAGGAGGAUCAGUCUGCUGUGCUUGUGGGCAGCUGUCCACGCAGGGGGAUUGGAGCCUAAGCCAGGCUUCUCCCUUGUCAUAACUUCACCUCCUGGACCGUAGAUGGCAUUGGGCUCAUUGAAUGCUAGAGCUGCUGUGAGGCAUGAUUCUAUAGAUGCUGAAGAUGGCUCCACGUCACGAUCACCUGGGGACAUCUAAAAGUACCACUCUGCGGACCCUGCCACUAGUUUCCGAUUCUUUUAGGUCCAUAAUUCAGUGUAGCCCACUGGGUCUCCAGAAACAUGAGCCUAAGUCCUGACUGCCACACACUGUAAGCUUGGGAAAAUUACUCAACCUCUCUGUGCCUUGAUUUCUUCACCUAUAAAAUGGAACUCAUAAUAAUCCCAACAUCGGAGGUUUGUUGUGAGGAUCAAUGUCAUGUACCUAAAGCUCCUGUUGCAAUUCAGUAAAUACUGAAUAAAAUGUAGCUAUUAUUGUAACAAGUAUCUCACCACUGGUUAGCGGCUGACGUGGAGCGUGGGGCGAGCAUCCAAGCCUCCUGAUCCUGGAUCCAGUGUUCUUUCCAACACGUCACUCUGAAUGUGCACACAGCAUUCCCUCUGAGGCCAGGCUCAACAAAGCGAACGUAUGGUCGCUGCCCUGGGACCCUUUAAUCAGCCCACAUGGAAGAGACUUGCACCCGAGAGCAAAGAGCAGAGCUGACCCCUGGAGAACCCAUACCAGAACGCAGGAGUUCAGCAGUACAGCUUCCGGGUCCUUUGAGAAGCCUCUGGCUGCUCCCGUUAGCGUUUCAUUAUGGAAAUAUUGGGAACCAAAAAUAGAAGUUCUUGAGGGGAGCUUAAUCCUCUGGGCUUUACACAACAGCUGCUGGAGCGUUCCAUGAAUCAACCACCAGGAGGCACUCUUGUCCCAUGCACGGGGGUCACGGGUGGGCCAAAAGCUUCCAUGAAGAUCCCAACAUCCCUCGGCACCUUCGUGCCCUAGCCUUCAUGCCCCUCUCAAGACCCUGUGGCUGGGGUCCUCCCGGAUCACCAGCUCCUGGUGCCGGGGAAACCUUUUGGCAACCCAGCUUACCGCUCUCCUCCUUGGAGCCUUGAGAGCGGGGAUAGCUUUUGCAUUUAUUUUCCUGCACUUAUUUUCCUGGCUUUUCUCCCCGUGCCACCACUCCCCACCCCACCCCCGAGACCUGGACUGCUGCUGGACACAUAGGAGGCAUGAAACACGCACACGGUUCUUUGGUGAAUGGAUACGUGAAAUCUGCGGAAAUUAAUAAGUUGGGGAAAGGAGACUGCCUGAGCUUUGGCAGGAUGGUGGGGACCAGAGGGAGGGUUAUAGCUGCCGGUUAAGGGGAGGGUCGUGGCUACAUGGGAAAGAGGGGGAGGGAGGGCUCAGGCAGGAGGGUAACAGAUGUGUUUCUGGGGUCCGGCUCCUGGGAGGCUGCUCAAUGCUGAGGUCAAACCCUUACCUCAGGGCCCUGGGCAGCAGGGGCAGCAACAUGCAGAGACAAGCCCAAGCGGCCCCCAUCCGUGGCUCAGCUGCCCUCCAUGUGGUUAUCGCUGGUCCCAUGGCCUCACCUGUCCCUGAGGUAGCCUGUGGCUGCCACCAUCGGGCUAUGACCUCCCACAGGUGGGCCUGGAUCACACCGCCUCCCUCUGGGUGAUGCCAUGGAGCUCAGCACCCUGACCGGGUAUCGCACAUCCUUAGCGCAAAGGAGUCUCAUUCAAGAGAACCUCAGAGUGUCUGCCACCAGACCAGCCUGCUGCAUCCCAGUUCCACCUGCCCUGGGAUGGGCCUCCCCUAGCGGAGCCAAUGCCCAGGUGGAAGGAGACAGGGUGAGAAGAACACAGGAUGGAAGGAAGACCUGGGUUGGAAUCCCAGGAAUCUAGGACCUAGUCAGCAGCAGAGGUGUGGUUUCCCUGGCAAGUUACUUAUUCUUGCUGAGACCCGGUCUGUCAUCUGCAGGAUGUUCGUACCUCCUCGCAGGGGAUCAAAUGAAGUAGCGGAUACCUAGUGGUGACACACGGCUCAUGCCUCGCUAGGGAGGUGCCGCGUUUGUGAUGUUAUCGACAUAGCAGGAGACGCAGGCAAGAGGUCCGCAGCAACACUAAGGAGCGGGGUGAGUGGGCAGAGGAGGCAGGAAGCAGGGGCAGCCGGGAGGGGCGAGUACGGGGCUGCGCUUGCCCGAGUGGAGGUGACCACGGCCAGGAGGAUGCGGCAGAGUCAGUAUCAUGGAGAGGGGAGUCAAAGUCCGGUUCGCGAACAGGGAAGAGACAGCUGCAGCAGGAUUGGCCAGGCCGGCCCCAAAUAGUGCCAUGCCCACCAAGCAUCCCUGGACACCUUGGGCUUCCCCUUCCAGACGCCUUGGGGUCUCACUCCAGGUCCUGCUUCUGACCUUCCCCUCUCAGCUGCCGGUUUUUCCCUCUCGGGCCUUCUACUAGAACCCGGCUUCCCGAGGACAGUCUGCAGCUCACUCUGGCGUCACCCUCUGGCGGUGCUUUUCUGGUCUCUUCUCCUGCCACCCUCGGCAGCUCCUGCCCCCUGACUCCCACACCCCAGGAGCCUCCAGAAGCUCAGCCCAUGGAGCCCCAAGCCCUGUGCGUGUCCUAGAGCGGAGCUGGUGCAGACAAGAGCAGGGGCUCAGGCGGGGCUGAGACUGAGCAGUGGGGGGAGGGCUGGCGAGAACAAGGCUGUGGGCCUGGCUGGAGGGUGGGGGAGGGCCCAGAGCCAGGGGGCUGAGGACUUGGGGAGAGACCCAGACAGUCCAGGGGAGGCCUGGGACAAGCUUGGCACAACGGACACACCUGAUACGAGGCCUCCGGCAGCAAGACUGAGUCUCGUGCCGGAGGCCUCAUCUGGUUGGGGCAGGGCAGCCAGUGGAGGUCCUCACUGACCCCCUACGGAGGGGACGGAGGCGGCAAGGCAGGGACUGAGAGCGGUGCAUGGUAUGGGCAGAUGGGCGACUCCUCUAGCUCAUUUUUUCCCUUUGGGCUUCAGAGCAGGUGAUCCCCAGGAAGCCCAGAGAGGAGGAGAGGCAGCUCAGAUGGGCCCGUGGCCCGGCUCGGGGCAGAAUAGCAGCCAGUCAGAACGCGCUUUCUUUUCCUCCCGGUCUCAAGGCUUUCCAAGACUGUCGGUGCUGGUUACCAUCUGCUGUGGUGGUUGCCAGGGGAACCACUUACUAUUUUUGUACGUUGCCCACAUGACCAGGCUUUGGAAAGGCUCAGGCAUGGUCAGUCCAGGACUAAUCCUGGAGGCGAUGCCCAGUGGGCUCCAACUGGAGACCUCGGUCAGAGGGUGGGAGCUGCUGUGGGACCCCAGGAUGGGGCCCAGAAUUCCAACUACAUCCCUGAGUGUAGGGGGAGGGCAGCCACCAAGGAGAGGGGUACCCCAUGUGCAGGAGAACCAAGCCAUUGACUCGUCAAACACCAAAAGUGCUGGCCAUUCAUUGUGCUAGUCGGUGGAGAGAUAGCUGAGAAUGGGACAAAUCCUCUCGGCCUGGUGGACAGACAGACAAAUUAAAAUGGUUAUGGAGCAGCAGACUGCCGUCUUGGCGGGAAGGACCCAGGAAAGCCUCCUUGAUGAGGUGAUAUCUAAGCCAAGAGAAGGUUUUGUAGGCGAUACGGGCAAGAGGGAAUUGACAGAGUAGGCAGUUCGUUGGAAGGGCAUUCCAAGCAGAGGGAACAGCAUGUACAAGGGCGCAGGGGACAUUGUGAGUAAGACAUCUUCUGGAACUGAAGUCACCUGAGCUCUAGAGUGCGAGGGAGGGCCCCCACCCAUCAGGUAGGGUGAAAGUGAGGCAGGGACCCCACCCAUCAUCAGGUAGGGUGAGGGGUGAGGCAAGCUGCACCUGGGUGUGCCCAGGCGCACCUGACAUCAGGCUUCUGGAAGCACGACUGCAGUCCAGGCAGUACUCUGGGGAGAGGUGGGCAGGUUUCCCCACUGCCCAUGAGACUUUGGGAGAAUCUCCAGGGCAUCUGAGAAACCGAAGAGUCUGAACUUUGGGAGGGAGAUUCCAUCAGGGGAGCUGGGUUACUGUUCGAAGUUCUGGGCUGAGCAGCAAGUGUCCAGAGAGCCUGCUGAAGCUCGUCACCCUGACUUCUUCCGACCCGGCCUGUUGCCAAGGCCCCGGAUGCAUGACUGAAGGUGUCUUCUCGUGUCGGUCCACGAACCUUCUGGGAAGUCCAAGACGCCAU